GCAAAAAGUGGUUCCAGGGAAACAUUAUCUUUGCUCAUUCAUUACAAGCACCAGCCCUUCUCGUUUCUUGGAUUGUUUUUUCAACGGAAAAUCAGCUUCAGAAGGGGUGAUUUGGAACAGAGAACUCUCUACUUCUCCAUUACCACUAUCCCUACCAGUGUGGAGGAAGACACUGCUGGGUCAAGGAACAUGUUCAUAAACAGACUGUGUGUAUGCGGUUCCUGUGACUGGAUCCCUGGAUGCAAAGAUGAAUGAAAGUUCCCAAUUUCCUUGAAACACUUUGCCUAUAGACAUCAGUACUGACCCAUCCUGUCUUUCUUAAGCAUCUCUUGAAGAUUUGUUUCCUUACUGAAGCCUCUGAUAUCUGAUUUUCUCCUCCUCUUCUUCUAUUAUCUUCAUUUCUCUUUCCCAUCCUUUUGUGGCCCUGUUCAGCUGUAAACCUGCAGCAGGAUUUUUUUUAUGUUUCUACUUUUGUACAGUGCCUAGAUUUUUGGGCAAUAUUCAGCAACCCAUCGUGUCAGUAGAAGGAUUAUCACUAGCGUGACAGAACUUCCCUCCCUUCAGGAGACAUGCAGGGGAGGGAGGGAGGGGGGGAAAUUCCAUUGUGCAAGCAGAAAUCCUUGUGGUAAUAGAACAACUUUUUUAGUGCUCCUUUGAAUACAAUCCAUUAUUUUUUGUUUGUAUUUACAUUUUGAUUGUUUUAUUCUUUCUCUCUUAUUCUGGGAGUAUGACUGAAGGGUGGAAUAAAACUUGUAACAAUAACACUAAAUAAAUCAGUAAAUAUUAUUUCUUAAAGAUUUGGGGUGAUAUCCAAAGUUAGUUAUACAUAGAGUAUACCUACUGAAAUCAAUGGACUUAAGUUGCUUAAGAAAUCAAUGGAUUGAUUUCAAUGGGUUUAUUCUAGGGUGACUGUCUUAGUUAAAUAUCACCCUUGCUUUUCCCACAUCCAUCACUACCAGUCAACUUUCUAUGAAAGUUCUGAGAGACCUUCCACUAUAAAUAUGGUAAGAAUGUAGAAACACACAACAAUGCUUACAUUUUGUACAAAAAUUCAAUUUCAUGAAAUUUUGUUACAAUACUAAUUAUUAAAAAUAAAAUGAGUGGUGCCUCAAAUAUCCAUUAAGUACUCUGCAAAAAAAAAACAAACUACCACUGUAUCAUUAACUAAAUCUGAAAUAUCAUUGGAAGGAAAUGCAUUUGUAUAUCAUUUUAUUUCAAAAACAUGUUCUUAGCUUCUGGCUGUUUGUAAACUAAAGCAAUUUUAACCAUUUUUCUUCAUAAAUCAUGUUACUCUUAUUGUCUGACUUCUUUUGAAA